ensembl:ncRNA lncRNA:CR43258 long non-coding RNA:CR43258
CUUUUCUGUACCAUUUUUUUGUUUAAAUAAUACCAUUUACCAAAAAUAUGAAAGAUCUCGACUUUUCCUUGGCAGGUGCGGUCCGGGAAAAAUUCCCAUCCGUUUUUUCCCACACAGGAUGCAAAUGUAACAGAACCGAAUAGGAAACCUUCAAACGAAAAUUCGAUUUCAUGCAAAACACAAACGGGAAAUCGGGAAACACAAAACUGGAAACCCCAAAACGAGUAUCGAGGCCUCUCGUGAGGAUAAAACGAAGGACGAACAUGUGCGCUUCCCACAGACUCUCAUCAGCAGGUACAUGUGGAUGUGGUCUAGAGGAUCCUGCGGGAUAUCUAUCCAGAAAAGGACUCACAGCCUCUUCCCAGGGAGCUCGAAAACAGCUGCUUUUCAAUCUUUUCGUGUACGAAUUUUUAAGAUUUUUAUGUCUUAUGAUUUUACUGUUUCAGGUUGAUGGUGGAAGUGUCGCUACUUAAAGAUGCGAACUUCACUUCCGUGUGAAUUUUUUUUUCGGAUUUCGCACAACAACAACAGCUGGCUAGUUAAUCCUUUGCCAGUUGUUAGACGCAGGAUUCCUCGACUUUCGCUUAAUUGGAAGGAGUAGCAGCAGCAGCAGUCGAAGGCGAAACCGCAGCAGUUGCUGUCUCUUUGUUAUUGAAUUCGAAACUUAUCGGAAAUCUUUUUUGGGCCUGAGAACGGAAACGCGACUGGGAUCUUCGCAGCACCCUGUUUGCCAAAACUGAGAACGCAGAGGGUCAGAUCAAAUCAAGGAUCGCCGAGUGCGAGGGUGGAUCAGGUGCAUUGCAUAAUCUUCGCCUUUGUAUCCCCCUGCACACAUCAUCUGUGGGAAUAUCUUUCGUUUUUUGGCGGGGGGAUCCUUGUGCAAACGGCUCAGAACGGAAGUCGUUUAGCGUGGGAAGUCCUAGGAGCAAAUAGAGCUGCCGAAGGGGUUGCUCAUCCAAUCUAAAUCUAAUUCCGGUGGGGACUACAGGUGGGGAAUUAAUUGAAUUUCUAGACAAUUGCAAUAAAAUAAUAUUUAUUUUAG